GUGCCCUUUCAGGGUUGAUGCUGUGACUUAAGAGGCUAACACAGAAGGUUAAAGUAAGUUUCUGUGCAACCCAGAGCAGAGAUCGGAGGACUUCUCUUUGGAUCCUCUCUGGAGUCACAACU